rnacentral:rRNA from 1 species
GACGAACGCUGGCGGCGUGCUUAACACAUGCAAGUCGAACGGAAAGGCCCUGCUUUUGUGGGGUGCUCGAGUGGCGAACGGGUGAGUAACACGUGAGUAACCUGCCCUUGACUUUGGGAUAACUUCAGGAAACUGGGGCUAAUACCGGAUAGGAGCUCCUGCUGCAUGGUGGGGGUUGGAAAGUUUCGGCGGUUGGGGAUGGACUCGCGGCUUAUCAGCUUGUUGGUGGGGUAGUGGCUUACCAAGGCUUUGACGGCGAGCCGGCCUGAGAGGGUGACCGGGGGAGUUGGGGGUCAGAUACGGCCCCGACCGGUAGGGUAGGCCACCGGGGGGGGGAGUGGAAGGAGGGUGCGAAGCGUAUACAGCACCGCCCUGUGCGGGAUGACGGUAUUGUGGUUGAAGACAACCUUAGCCCCGGAAGACGCUUUGUGUGAAGGUAGUGGAUAAAGCAGCAACCACUAACUACGUC